AUGCCUCCCAUAUUGUUAAGCCAAGCCUCUAACCCACCCUGUCCUAGAAACCGUUGUUUGGCUACGUUACCGCUUUGCUCAGCCCCUCUUAUAACGUUGUUAGUUGCAGGUGAAGAUUGGAGUUGUUCCUUGUUGGGAUAUCACAAUAUCUCUUAUUUAAUUAAUGCAUAUAUAUACUUGGUAAAGGGUGGAAGGCUCGGCCUUAUGCCUGGUGUUUUGUUCCACUCUUGCUGCCCUAGUUUCCGUCAUAUCGACAUUAUGUUCCCGUAUUUUUGCAUUCCUCACACGGUUGGGUUAUAA
rnacentral:rRNA from 1 species